rnacentral:rRNA from 1 species
UACGGAGGUUGCAAUCGUUAUCCGGAUUCACUGGGCUUAAAGGGUGCGUAGGCGGGGAGGUAAGUCAGGGGUGAAAUCCUAGAGCUUAACUCUAGAACUGCCGUUGAUACUAUCUGUCUUGAAUAUUGUGGAGGUGAGCGGAAUAUGUCAUGUAGCGGUGAAAUGCUUAGAUAUGACAUAGAACACCAAUUGCGAAGGCAGCUCGCUACACAUAUAUUGACUCUGAGGCACGAAAGCGUGGGGAUCAAACAGG